rnacentral:misc_RNA from 1 species
GUGAAUCAUCGAAUCUUUGAACGCAAAUUGCACUUUCUGGUAUUCCGGAAAGUAUGCCUGUUUGAGGGUCAUUUUAAGUUUAAUCGUGGUUGUGGCGUGUUUUGGUGGUGACGCGUCUGAGUGGGGUGUGGUUACCUUUGGGUAAGUGACUUAAAAUUUUGUGUGAUUGUUUGAGGUAUGUAAAUU